CAUCGUAACCGCUCCGUCAGUGUUGGUGAAUUAGCGACUGAGGGGCUGAGUGGGUAAUAGGGUGCGUGUGAAAGAACAGCAGCAGCAGCCGAAUCCUGCGUUAGUGUCAGGGGGACAGCAACCUGAUCCAGGCGUGUGCAUGAUCCAGGCGUGUGCGUGUGUUCUUUUCCACUGCAGGGUGUUAUACGGGAUAUUAGGUGUCGUUUCCUGCCAUAUACGUAGGACCUUGUUGUUUAUUUUACAGGUAAUAGCGUGUAUAUUUUAUAAAACUCUUAAUUUAUGUCUUUUCACCUCCUAAUCCACUUUGGUAACUGCACGUUUAUUUUCUAUGUCUAUGGGUCUGUUUCUGUUUUGUGAGUAAAUUUGUUUGUAUCUUUUUUUUUUUUUCCGUCUUUCGUCUUUUUAGGGCUGCACCAGCUGCACAUGGAGGUUCCCAGGCCAGGGGUCGAGUUGGAGCUGUAGCUGCCAGCCAACACCACAGCCACAGCAACGUGGGAUCCGAGCCAGUCUGUGACCUACACCACAGCUCACGGCAACGCCGGAUCCUUAACCUGCUGAGCAAGGCCAGGGAUGGAACCCACAACCUCAUGGUUCCUAGUCCGAUUCUGUUUCCACUGAGCCACGAUGGCAACUCCGUUUGUAUCAUUUUUUUAGUGAUGAUUUGUAAAUAAGUAAUAUCGUCUGAUAUUUGUCUUCCUCUGCCUUCACUUAGUGUGAUUAUCCCUAGGUCCAUCCGUACUGCUACAAAGGGCGUGAUUUUGUUCUUUUUCGUGGCUGAGUAAUUGUCCAUUGUGCUUGGGGACCACAUGUUGAUCCACUCCUCUGUCGCUGGGCGUUUAGGUGGCUUCCAUGUCUUGGCAGUUGUAAAGAGUGCUGCUGUGAGCAGAGGCCGUGCUUGUAUCCUGUUGAAUUAUGAAUUUUUCUGGAUAUAUGCCCGGCAGUGGGAUUGCAGGAUCACAUGGCAACUCUGUACUUAGAUUUUUAAGGGACCUCCAUACUGUUUCCCGUAGUGGCUGCACCAGGUGACGUUCCCACCAGCAGAGUAGGAGGGUUCCCUUUUCCCCACACCCUCUCCAGCAUUUAUUGUGUGUGGACUUUUUGAUGACGGCCAUGCUGGCCGAUGUCACCUGGCCCCUUACGGUGGUUUUAAUUGGCAUUUCUCUAGUCAUUAGUGAUGCUGAGCAUCUUUUCAUAUGCUUUUUAGCCACUUCUUUGUCUUCUUUGGAGAAAAGUCUCUCUAGGUCUUCUGCCAAUUUUUGGACUGAGAUGUUAUGGUUUUUUGAUACUGAGUUGUAUGAGCUGAAUAUAUAUUUUGAAAAUUCUUAUUGGUCACAUCAUUUCAAAUAUUUUCUCCCAUUCUGUAGGUUGUCUUGUGUUGUGGUGGUGGUUAUUUAUGAUUUCCUUUGCUGUGCAAAAGCUUUUAAGUUUAAUCACAUCUCAUUUGUUUAUUUUUAGUUUUAUUUCUAUUCCUCUAGGAGGUGGAUCCAAAAAAAUAUUGCUGGAGUUGCUAUUGUGGCUCAGCAGGUUAAGAACCCAACAUAGUGUUCCCGAGGAUACAGGUUUGAUCCCUGCCCUCGCUGAAGGAUCUGGCAUUGCCACAGGCUGUCCUGUAGGCUGCAGAUGCGGCUCAGAUCUGGUGUGGCUGUGGCUGUGGUGUAGGCCGGCAGCUGCAGCUCCAAUUCAACCCCUAGUCUGGGAACUUGGGUAUGCCACAGGCACAGCCCUAAAAAUCAUAAAUAAAUAAAUAAACCCAAAACAUAUUGCUAUGAUUUUUGUCAAAGUGUGUUUUGGGAGUUCGUUGCUGUGACGCAGCAGGAUCAGUGGCAUUUCCUCAGCACUGGGACACAGGUUCCAUCCUCGACCUGGCACAGUGGGUUAAAGACCUGGCAUUGCCACAGCUGCAGCUUGGGUUGCAACUGUGGCUGAGAUCUCUUCCUGGGCCUGAGAACUCCAUGUGCCAUGGGGCAGC
rnacentral:lncRNA from 1 species